rnacentral:rRNA from 1 species
UACAGAGGUCCCAAGCGUUGUUCGGAUUCAUUGGGCGUAAAGGGUGCGUAGGUGGCGUCGUAAGUCGGGUGUGAAAUCUCGGGGCUUAACUCCGAAACUGCAUUCGAUACUGCGGUGCUUGAGGACUGGAGAGGAGACCGGAAUUUACGGUGUAGCGGUGAAAUGCGCAGAUAUCGGGAGGAACACCGGUGGCGAAGGCGGUUCUCUGGGCCUUACCUGACGCUGAGGAGCGAAAGCGUGGGGAGCGAACAGG